rnacentral:rRNA from 1 species
CUACGGGACGCAGCAGUGGGGAAUAUUGCACAAUGGGCGCAAGCCUGAUGCAGCCAUGCCGCGUGUAUGAAGAAGGCCUUCGGGUUGUAAAGUACUUUCAGCGGGGAGGAAGGGAGUAAAGUUAAUACCUUUGCUCAUUGACGUUACCCGCAGAAGAAGCACCGGCUAACUCCGUGCCAGCAGCCGCGGUAAUACGGAGGGUGCAAGCGUUAAUCGGAAUUACUGGGCGUAAAGCGCACGCAGGCGGUUUGCUAAGUCAGAUGUGAAAUCCCCGGGCUCAACCUGGGAACUGCAUCUGAUACUGGCAAGCUUGAGUCUCGUAGAGGGGGGUAGAAUUCCAGGUGUAGCGGUGAAAUGCGUAGAGAUCUGAAGGAAUACCGGUGGCGAAGGCGGCCCCCUGGACGAAGACUGACGCUCAGGUGCGAAAGCGUGGGGAGCAAACAGGAUUAGAUACCCCAGUAGUC